CGGCACACCCGAAGUCGGUGAGGUAACCCCGAAAGGGGAGCCAGCCGCCGAAGGUGGGGUCGAUGAUUGGGGUGAAGUCGUAACAAGGUAGCCGUACCGGAAGGUGCGGCUGGAUCACCUCCUUUCUAGGGAGAAGUUUUGGGGCUUACGGGUUUGGAUGGUUGGGUGUGUUUAGUUUUGAGGGAGCGAGAGCUCUCUCGAAGGACCUUGGCAAGUGCAUAGGGAGUUUGGGAAGGUGAAGCUAGGAAGGGCACACGGUGGAUGCCUAGGCGCCAAGAGCCGAAGAAGGACGGGGCGAACGCCGAUAUGCCAC
rnacentral:sRNA from 1 species